GCAAGAUAUCAAGCCCUCUAAACGUGUCCACAUCAGCUGAAAAAAUCAGCCAAUUAGAGAUCCUUAACUAGCCAUGUCAUUUAGGUUAAAAUAUUGAAACAAUAUUGACUUCAAUUGUAUUCACUAAAAACUUGAUCGAUUGGUUUUACUUCGUCUUUAUGUUCUCUGGAAAACGUUUUGGUAGUGAUCGUAAUAAGCACAAGUUUCAGCCAAAACGUUUUGCCUCAACACAAUCAGUCUCCGAUUUCCCUCCUCUCUUACUAGCCGCUGAUGCCGCCUUUCAGAUCUCCAAUAACCCUCAAACCACCACCAAAAAACAUAAACAUAAGCCGCUUCAAAAACCAGGCCAUACUGCGUUAAGACUGAUUUCCCUACAAUGUUCCAUCUCUUCUCUCCUCAUACAUCUCCACCAACCGCUUUGACUAUGUCCUUUCUCCACUGGUUUGUUUCUGAUCGAUUCUCACGUUUGUGUCUAAUAUUUUCUUUGGAUAUGGCGCUUCAGUGUUUUAUAUAUCUAAUGAAGUUUUUUUCUCGCUCUCUGUGAAAUGUUGUUAUGCAGAUGGCCCUUCGUAUAAGCCGAUCUUAGUGGAAGGAAACGGACACUCAGGUUCUACCAGUCUCUGGCUCUGAAUUACUCUUACAGGUUGUUUUGAAUUUCUUGCUUUUUGUUAAUUUUUUUUCAAGAUUAUAGUCUUUUCUGUACAAGAGAAUCUUCAAUUAAGCUCUAACUUUCUAUUCCUUCUUUCUUUCUUUAGUUUUGUUUAAUGUGAUUCUACUAUGAAGUUAUGGUUGAGGGCUCCGCUGGUUAACUCUGAUGGUGAUUCAAAGGAUGCUUUCCCAAAUAAUCUGGUAAGACGUAGGACCAAAAUUGAUGCAAUGAAUUGAUUUUUAACCUCUAGCCAUUAAUUUUCAUUGUCUUUGCUGAAUUUCAGGUUUAUGUGCUUAACGGCUGCGUUUUCUGUUUUGCCGUAGGUGUUCUCCAUGUGAUGUUGAAACGUGGGUUUGCUUUCAGUGUCUACAAUAUGAACAUCCUCUUGGAGGGUUUAUGCAAGAAUCUGGAAUACGACAAAACUGUUACUUUGCUUCUUGAGGUAAAGUUUGAGUUCUCCGCCGCCGGAUGCUGUUAGCUACAGCUAUGUUAUAAGAGGCUUAUGCGAGGGGAAAUAGUUGUAGAAAGCAUUGGAAUUGUCGAAUGAUAUGCAAGGCAUCCAUAAUAAGCACUGAUAUAAGUGUAUAACCCUUUCACCACAUCGUAAUAAACUCAAUUUUGAACUCAUGUUAUUAUUCACAAAUUAGUCUAAUUUGGGUCUGCAGUCGUUUUUAACAAAUGCUCAGAGGUUCUAUGAUGUCAUGUUAGUACAUAGGAUUGCAGUUUGUUGGCGUUUUUGGGCUCUUUUAACCAUUGCUAGGUUUGAGUUUAAUUUUAAUUUUUAUUAGAUAAGAGUUUGUAAAAUGCAGAUGGAGAAUACAGUUUAUGCAUUGAAUAACAGUAUAAACACAAAAGCAUAUGAUAAUUUUGACACAUAAUCUUUCUUGCAACAUGCCAUCAAUUUUGCUGCAAAACAUUGGGGUCUUCAGUGCCUUUUACGAGAUAAGUGAGUCAUAUUCUGCUCGACUCUUUGGCUGACUUCACUUGCUUGCCUGUUUCUAAAUAUGUUGUGUAGCCAGGGGAUAUCAUGCCUCCUCACUGUUACUAUGGAAUGAAAGCUGAAGCUAAAUGUAGAAAUAGAGGCCCCGACACUUGAGUCUGAAGGUAAAUUUGCAUUCCCUAUCUUUGCAAAACUUAUGUUCAGUGAUUGAGUAGUGUGCUUGGUACAGCUCAAGAAUACAGAAUAAAGCCUGCUUACUUUGUUUCUCAUAAUCUCCUUCACCAGCUUGAAUAGGGGAACACCAAACCCAUUUCAACAUCGCAGGUAUUAAGAAAAAUUCUGCAAACUUGGUAUCAGAAGCUGCAAAGGUAAAGUUAGCCAAUGCAACAUCAUGUUUGUAUUAAGUAUUAACUAUUUAGUUCACAUGAGCACAUCAUAAUAAGAUGUCAAGCCAUUCUUCAGUAUUAUAUCAUAACCUUUCUUUCUUUAAACUAAAAAAUUAAAACGACUACCUCUUCUAUUAGGUUUUUCUUUUCUUUAUAUAUGCGACUAAAAGUAGAUGUCACUACUAUGUUUUUAUUUUCUUUUUCUCUUACUAGCUUAAUUGGGUAUUUUUGUUGUUUAUUGGUGUAUAAGGGUCGUCUGCUCAAGAGAUUAAAAAUUUCCUUAAGAGAUUUGAAGUUGGAUCUGGUCCUCUACUUAGGGUUAGUCUCCUGAUUAUUAUUUUUUUUUACUGAAGUUGUCUCUUGAUUUUUUAUCCUUAUAAAUACUGUAUUACUUUUGAAAAUUUAAUUUUUUCAAAAGCUUGUAGUGUGUUGAUUGAUUUUUUUCAUGGUUCUGACUGGUAUAUAUAUAUAUAAAUAUAUAUAUAUAUAUGCAUGCCUAUACAUACACUCUCUUAUACUCUUUGUUAUACGGUCAAAACAGUGUUCCAACAAUGAAUUCAAUACAAUAGAGCACAUUGGUAGACUUCUACUCUUCAGUGAUCUCUUAAGUUUUCAGAGGUUCAAAGAGUUCUAUGCUUCAACCACUAUCUCCACUGAGGAUGAACCUUACAAAGGUCUUAGUAAUCUGUUAGCCCCUGCAGGAGACUUAUUUUCUUACUUGGAUGAUCUGGCAAAUUCAUUGGAUAUUCAGGCUUACAUAAGAGAGUGUGUUUGGACAGCCGGAAAUUGAUUUCCCAUCCCAACACCGUCUAGCUAGCUAGCAUCAAUAGCGUAUGACACCGUUAGAUUGCCAUUAAAAGCAAAUCCACAAAAAAAUGAUUCAUCUCCUUACCACUUCGGUUUUCUCCUUGUGAAAUUAAUAGAAUUUUCUCAUAUGUAUUCACCCUCUUAAUGUUUUGUGGUUUUUGGGAAUGUUUGUGUUUAAGUAAAAAUAAGAAUUUCGUUUCAGCAAUUCAAAUAAUAUGUCUAUGGUUUUAUAUCA